UGAUCCAGCAUGGUACACUGGUGUACACGCGUAUCUACCUGGGCCGUAUGGAGUGGAAUGUCAAACUAAAUGUCCAUUAGACUGUAGCUUUCAUUGUUACCAUUCAAUUUGGAAAUGUUCUGACCAUACAGAGAAAACGACGUAUGUCCACCUGGGAUGCAUGGACUAGAUUGUCAAACACAAUGUCCAAUGGAGAGUAGCCGUGAUUGUGACCACACGACUGGAAAGAGUUUCAUCCACAAAGUUCAGCACCACCAAUAAUAUCCCGAUACCAUGACACAGGAUACAGUAUAUAUGUUCAAUGUUAUAGUGGAUAUAACAGUUGUUAAGAGAGAGACAAGGUCAUCAGUGCUGCCCUGGAUCAUUCUUUAACCUGACUGUGCAGGAGUGUCAAGGCAAGAGAGAUAGUCUCAUGAAAUUAAUUUAACUAACGUUUAAUAUCUGGGAAACUGAAUUCGAAUUUCAUAAAUAUCAUUACCUUUAUUGUCGUUAUUAUAAAUUGUAUACUUCUUAUUCACACAGUAUGUCCAGCAGGGUACACUGGCCUUAACUGCAGUGACAUCUGUCUACCUGGAUUGUAUGGGAUGGAAUGCCAAAUAAAAUGCCCAUUAGAGUGUAGCGUAACCUGUGACCAUACAACUGGAAUAUGUCCUGACCAAAGAGGUGGGAAUAAUUUUUACAUUCCGUGUAAGCUAACCAGCAAUAUGAGAGGUGAAGAUAACGAACAGUGAUCAAUCCCAUAACUCCUAAAAGGAAUACAAAAUAAAGAGAUAGGUAAACGCAUGCCUCCUUGACAUACUUUAUGAAAAUAAGUUGCAAAUCAUUAUUAUGCGAGUUUCGCAAUCAAUAUAAAAAUGUGCCCGCGAUCAAACAUUCUUUUCUUUUUGUAUAUUUCAAUUAGAAAAAAUGAAGUGGUGAAGCACAUGACAUAUGCUAUAUGCUAUAAAAUACGUACAGUACAAACAAUUAAAAAAAUAUUACAGAAGAUUGUUUGGUUCCGUUGCCUGUCAGCUUUUUACGCAUCGUUCGGUUAUGUUUGAUAUGUACUCAGUUGGACUGCUCUGAUUUCAUUAUUUACAGCUUUUUCAAAACAUGUGUUGGUUUGGGAAAACAAACGGUGAGAUAAUUAUUCAAAAUAUGAUAGGCCGGGAAAUAUAAUGGCGAAUAUCUGCAAAAUACAUGUACUUGCAAGGCUAUGCUGUGUCUGAUCGUUUAUUAAACCUUGACUUGGACAUGUCCAAAGAAAUGAUUGUAAAAUAUCAACUCCAAAAGAACAUACAUCUAAACAUACCACAACUACGGAUUACUUCAUUUACCUAAUCAAGACAUAGGGUUGGUGGCAGGUGUGACCGGUCGACAGGUGGUGCUUAUUCCUCCUAGACACCUGAUCCCACCUCUGCUAUAUCCAGUGGUUUAUGUUUCCGCAUAUCUUUAUUUUGUAUACCUCAUAGGAGUUCUUAGAUUGAUAAAUGUUCGUUACCUUCAUAUUUCACGUCUGAAAUAUAUCUCAUCAUAAUUAGCUAAUCUUCAAAAUGUAAGGGCAAAAUAUUCCGAGAUUAUUGUCUACAAGCGGUCAGACAGAUAUAAAACAGGGUAAUGACACUGUAUGUCCUAUUUUAAUGGGCGUAUUUGAUAGUAUACAGUUAUUGAAUGGGUUCGAAGACGACAGUCGUUUUUACCCAAGAAAGAAUUUUGUGGUUAAAGCCGUAGACAGAGGGCAACAGAUCUGUUCGAGGGUGAAACAAAACAGAUGUUGUCUGAGGAACCAGUCAAUAUUGUCUUGUUAUACGCCUUCAUUUUUAGGCUGUUUUAGUAGAUGCACAUGGUUUGUUGACUUUGAAAUUGACAGUGUGAUUGCGUACAUUUUGCAUCGUAUCUACUAGUUUAAAAGAAAACAUAACCAGUGUCGAAAUUGAUAAUUAUAUUUUUCGUGUUUCUGCUCUACUUUUAAUCUAACGGAUUCUGUAUUUCACCAUCAGUAAACCUCGCCAAAUUACGUAAAUAAGUCAGCAGAAGAAGAAUCAUGUGACUUGCAUAUAACAGCUUUGAAAAGAAGAAAAGAAAAACAAUGAGCCUUAAUGCUAUACUUUUUAUGGUCUUCUUACCUCCACCUUGAAACAUCAAUUGAAUUUCGUCCCCAGUUGCUUCCGCAAAAUGUGCUUCCGCCAUUUCUAUUUUACCAAACGGGAAAGGAACACUCGAGUUAGUGCCAUUUGACGUCAUCGAUCAACAGUCGUUUUUAAGAGUCGAAUUUAACAGUUCCUGGUCGAACAGUCGCCAGAACAGUUGAAAUAUUGAACAUAUUUUCGUAAGGAGUUAUACAGGAACUGUUUUAUAGGAGUAUAUCAAUAUUAGAUAUUUGUAUGACAAUUGAAAUAGUAUAGAGAAACCUUUCAAACGCUAUGAAUUAAACGCUAAGGUGUAUUGGUGCAGGUACACGUCAGUUGCUUUAAAUGUAUAUCUAUUUCAGAAAAUCCUUUGACAUCGAUGCUAGGAGAGGAAGAUGCUUCUUAUAAUACCAAAACCACCACUGAUUUGUUUGAAUCGGUGUCGAAAGGUAAUGGGAAUGAUGCACAUUACUACAUGAAAACUUCUACCGAAACUUCACCAACUACGAGUCAUGGUAUGAAGAAAACCAACAAUAUAUAUUUAACAAUUAUUAUUGUCAUUAUUUGUUUAGGAUCUGUGUCUGUGAUUUUGUUAUUGAUCCUUUUGAUCUUUCAUCUAAUACGCGCCUUACGGAAAGAAGAAACGCCACAUGUACCUGACGAAAACCCACCUUCACCGGUGCAUCCAUUGUAUGAAUCAAUCAAUGAAGAUUUCUUCGUACCUUCCAUCCCAGUGCGAUCAGUUGAAUCAGAGUAAUGCUGACUGACUAAUUGGUGGAAUAUAAUGAUAUUAUGCCAAUUUUUUUUAUAUUUCCUACUUCUUUUCAACUGUCAAAGAUAGAUACAUACUCGCUUUCUAUAAGAACGUUAUGCAAAAGAGUUAUUUAACAUACAUCUUAAAUGUACAAAUACAAGAACAUUUAAUUAUAUUUUGUUCCUGACAUUUUGUGAUUAUUACUUUCUGCGCAAGACUGUUAAGGGCUCCUAUAGAAAUAAUACGCACUAAAUAUGCAUUAAAAUGCCCACAUAUAUACCACCGCUGUGUUAAACUAACAAUGCUACACAGUUUUCCCUGUAUAUGCGAUGAUGAUCCUACAAGAUCUCCGGUGUGCAACUGCAUAUAACUUUAUGCAUUAUCACGUGUCUGUCACGUGACAUUGGUAUUUAUAUACACUUUAUUGAGUCAAACAAUAUAUCGGGUUUUAGAACGGCAUAACCCACACCUAGGUUCAAGUUUUUUGCUUCUGUAAAUGCAUUAAUAUAUACUGAAUAUGAAAAUCAUUGCUGCUUCGUUCGGAUGAAGUUUACUUUACACAUAAUUCACGGAAAAGUAUUGUAUUUACACAUGUCCGAUGACAUGCCUUACACAUCGGUACUGAAUUCCAAUAAAUCCGGCGAACUGAAUGAUCCAGCAUCAGUUUUCAAUUUUAUCUAACCCUCCGUAAACUGUUUGCGAAGUAUCAAAUCAAUCCAUGCAGGUUAUGCCCUUCUAAAACGUGCAGAAGUGGAGUCGUUCAAAUUUUCCUAAACUUUACCCCAUUUUCAAACGCAGCAGCGAUUCAGAUAUUACCACGGGCACAUAACUCUUUUAUUUACUAAGAGCGGGUAAUUUCAAAAGAAUUUCGAAUAACGCAUUUACUAUUUGCUUAUUCGACCCCACGACAAACAUCAUGCCAUUUUUUUGAUUAAAAUAGACCCUUUUUCUUUUUCAGAUAAUGACUUGCCAUAUUUGAGCGGAUACGACAGAAAACGGGAGCUAACUGGCUCUUGCCCGAGUCAUGGAUCACAUACUUCGUAUUUUGAUACAGGAGACAUUUUUUUUUAAUUCAGCUUCAUAUUUUGUACCUUUUAAACCAAAUUUUUCAAUAAAUGAUGGACACAU